UACAUAUGGUUAUUACGUCACUAGAUGGA
rnacentral:sRNA from 1 species